UAAUAUCAACCGCUUCCCAUGCCUCGAGGUCAUGGGACCUUACUUAGGGGAGAAAAUCCUAUUUAAGGAAGUAGCAUGCGGUGUGACGACGUGGCUCCAUACCCUGAAAAUAAGGUCAAUCUUAUAGCUAACUGGUGAGUAUUAACUUACCAUUUAGCUAUAUAUUGCCUUCAGGGGAGGUGGACGGAGCAGAGCCCCGCCCUCCCUCCGGGGGGUCUGGUACACAUCUUAUACAUACCAUACUCCUAAGGCAUAGUAAUAGGUAGUCUAUAGCAUAGACUACCUUAAACACAUUAUACUAUAGAUUAGACCCUAUAACAUAGGGUCUUACAUUAAGUGUCAUACCUAUAACGCUACUCCUUACCUUAUCUAGUAGUUAGUUAUGGUAUAAGGAGUAGCUAUACUGUACUGUAUACAUAUGAAUAGGUAAGGUAAAGGCCUUAUUCGAUUACCUAAGAAGGUAAUCUAGGCCUUGUUCCGCUACCCUUACUCUAUAUAAAGGUAAGGUAAAGGCCUUACUCGAUUACCUAAGAAGGUAAUCUAGGCCUUGUUCCGCUACCCUGACCCAUACUCUAUUCCUAUAAGUGAAGUAAGACAUAUACUCUAUUACUCGUACAUACAAACCAUAUCCCUAUAGAUCUAUCGUUCCUGACCCACACCCGUGGAUCAGUCACUUAUUCCCCUCAAUCGCCGGGGGCUCACUACCUCCCCUCAAUCGCCGGGGGCUACCUCCCACUCCUCCCCUCAGUCGCCGGGGGCUAACAACAACACCCUAUAUUAUCGCUCCCGACCCCUACCCAGGGUUCUAUCGCUUACUUCUGAUUAAUAUCGUAUGCGGUUGUAGAAACUCGAUCAAUAACUCAAGUUGGCGAACGUCGGUCCUAGAAUAAGCGUUGAGGAAGACUGAUGGUGUGGAAUUUAUUAGGGCUACGGUACCGUAACAACACCCCUCUCAAUCUCCGCUCUGCUCUAGGCUCGGUAGCUAGACUCCCAGUCCCCGUGGAUGGUCAGAAUGAACCGGAGGGGCUCAUUUCCGAGCAUA